UUGAGAAAUGGUUGCGUGCCCAGGCUGAAGGAGACUACAAUGCCAAGCUUGGAAUCACCAUCCUUGGAGAAGCUGUGACAGUUGAAGAUGAAGUCGUGGUGACUAACAGCAUCGUGCUCCCAAACAAGACCCUUAAUGUUAGUGUACAGGAGGAUAUCAUUCUAUGAGGACAAGGAACCAAGAUCCGGCUGGAAUUCAAUGCAGUGUUUAGUUGUGAUUCUUGAAUUUUUUUUUUUAAUGUCAGAGUAAUUAUAGAUUUUUAUGUCAAAAGCGCACUUAUUGAUAGAUACAACAGUAAAUUGUGUUACUGAAGUAGAGUUUCAGUAGGGAACAAUUUUUGCCACAACACAUGAUUUUUUUAUUUUUUUUUUUGGAACACAACACAUGAUGUUUGAGAAAGCUGAAUGCCUUUUUAUAAACUAUAUUUAUAGAAAGUGAAAGUUGACAGCUUGAAACUCUUCUGUAAGGAGGAAAGCAAAUUUAGAAUUUCAAAUUAACCUUUCAAUUUUUCAAUCUUUCAGGCACAUUUGCUAUUUUGCCUUUGUGUAAUGGAACAACUUGCACAAGCCAAUCUUCAAACACACACUUCAAAAUAACAAACCUAACCUAGUUACUCUUA